UACGAAGGGGGCUAGCGUUGUUCGGAAUAACUGGGCGUAAAGCGCACGUAGGCGGAAUGUUAAGUGAGGGGUGAAAUCCCAGGGCUCAACCUGGAACUGCCUUUCAUACUGGCAAUCUAGAGAUCGAGAGAGGUGAGUGGAAUUCCGAGUGUAGAGGUGAAAUUCGUAGAUAUUCGGAGGAACACCAGUGGCGAAGGCGGCUCACUGGCUCGAUACUGACGCUGAGGUGACGAAAGGCGUGGGGAGAAACAGGAUUAGAUACCCGCGUA
rnacentral:rRNA from 1 species